CAACAUACAAAUGGAGAAUUCGAUGAGCGUUCUGUUCAUAUAGACAACGCUAAUGACCCAUUUUUCCCCUUCGACUGCAGGAAAAAUGCCCUCCGAAGAAAAGUUGCGGGUUAUGGCCGAGAGCAUUGUUGAUGUUGCUGUUCUUCGUGUGUUAGCCGAGGCUUGCGAGCUUGUAAUGAAUGAGAAUUGAGUUGAUGUAAUAAAACAUGAUCAAUUUACUUGUGAAAUAUUUGUGAAUGUUGUUAUAUUUUCGAAUUGCACUUUGUAUAUUUUUUUUUGUUUCCAUGCAAGGACGUAUUUUGAGGCAAAGACCUUUGAUUUGUCUUCAGAACUCCCCUCCCCCCCCCCUCAAGUGUUUGCCGCAAAGGAGUAUGCAUGAAAACAUUGUUCCUGCAGCCACUCGUGGCUUUUUCGCUCCGAUUCAUCUUUUCUAUCC
rnacentral:lncRNA from 1 species